GACGAACGCUGGCGGCGUGCUUAACACAUGCAAGUCGAACGGAAAGGCCCUGCUUUUGUGGGGUGCUCGAGUGGCGAACGGGUGAGUAACACGUGAGUAACCUGCCCUUGACUUUGGGAUAACUUCAGGAAACUGGGGCUAAUCCCGGAUAGGAGCUCCUGCUGCAUGGUGGGGGUUGGAAAGUUUCGGCGGUUGGGGAUGGACUCGCGGCUUAUCAGCUUGUUGGUGGGGUAGUGGCUUACCAAGGCUUUGACGGGUAGCCGGCCUGAGAGGGUGACCGGCCACAUUGGGACUGAGAUACGGCCCAGAGUCCUACGGGAGGCAGCAGUGGGGAAUAUUGCACAAUGGGCGGAAGCCUGAUGCAGCAACGCCGCGUGCGGGAUGACGGCCUUCGGGUUGUAAACCGCUUUCGCCUGUGACGAAGCGUGAGUGACGGUAAUGGGUAAAGAAGCACCGGCUAACUACGUG
rnacentral:rRNA from 1 species